UGGUGAUCCCGACGUGAUCUUCAACCAGUGAGAAACCUCAUCAAAAUGCGAUUGAUGCGAUCCCUGGAGAAUAAGAGUCUUUUCAUGGAGCUAAAGGUUUGAACUUCUUCUAUUUCUUCAGCUGAUGUGGUUGAAAGCUGUAAAUCCUGGCCAGAGAUGUCUGGCCACAUCAGACAAGACAGCAAACCCUGCAGAAAAGCAAUCUAGAAAACGGAGGAUGGGUGUGAAGACAUUCAAAGGCCAUUUUACACCUCACAACACUAUACCAUCAUGAAUAGACAUGGCCUCAAAAUUUGCAACACUAUUGUUAGAGAUAAAAUCCACCCAUCUUCCAGACAAAAACUGACUGUACAGCACACACAUUGACUAAAACAAUCUCGUAACACAUCUGGUAUAGACGUAAAGACUAUCCAGACAUAAACACUACACACCACACAACAUAUUCCAAACUUAACACUACAUUUAAAAUCAACAUUCUCCUGUUACACAAACAGGGACAUCUAAUCCAACACAAAUUCUAAGUGAUAUCAUUCACACCCAUAUUAGCAAAACUACAACAUUCAUAAGAAACUUACUUGGCAAAGUCACACUUUGAUAAUUAUGUUUCUAAUUGCAAUAACAAACUUACUGUCUAAAUCUCAAUAAUCUGACUGUUGUUGUCAUAAGUGAGGACCAGUUGGCGCCCUGAUCCUCAAUUUAUCACUAAAUAACAGCACAAACAAUUUUCAAGAAUCAAUCAAACCAUUUACAUCUCAACUCCCAAUAUCAAAUGUGACUUAGCCAACAUAUCACAUACACACCUAUAUAAGUAUUCACAUAUCUCUACACUCGUACACCUACUUAUACAUGCAAACACAUUGAAAUCUGAGAUUCUAAAUCUUCAAGUCUAUGGACUACACAUACUCAUAAACACGCCUAUACACACAAGCACAUACAUAUACACAUACAUAUAUACAUAGGCACAUACCUGCACACAUAGAAAUCUAACAUGAGAUUCUGAAUCUUCAAUUGUGCUCAUGGACUCAACAUGUCCUGAACAUAUUCUUAAAAUAAUCUUAGGCCUACAAGGUGCUUAUACUAAGAGAAUUCAGAAUUCCCUCGAAACAUUCAUUAUAGAUGUGUGUAUGGAACGAUUACACAAUUAUGCGCCUAUUAUUAUUAUUAUUAUUAAUAUUAUUAUUAUUAUUAUUAUUAUAUAUGGGCUACCAUGCCCAUACCUAAAUCUAUUAUAGCAAUAUUUUACUAUCACGUUAAUUGAUACACCCUAUAGUAUGCAUAACCAAAAUUUUAUUUCAACACCUUCUGGUUUUUUAUUUUAUUUUUUAUUUUCACAUGACCCAAUAUGCAUACCUGUAUGUUAUUCUAACACCUUCUGGUUUUUAUUUUUCCACAUGACCCAAUAUGCAUACCUGAAUGUUAUUUUAACACCUUCUGGUUUUUAUUUUUCCACAUGACCCAAUAUGCAUACCUGAAUGUUAUUUUAACACCUUCUGGUUUUUAUUUUUCCACAUGACCCCAAUAUAUGCAUACCUGAAGAAGGUUAUUUUUACAUUUUCUGGGUUUUAUUUUAUACAAUCUAUAAUAUGCAUACCUGAAGAUCAUUUUAACAAUUUCUGGGUUUUAUCUUCAUACAAUCUGUAACAUGCAUACCUCAAGGUUAUCUUAACAUUUCAUUUUCUGGGUUUUAUUUGUGUAAUAUGCAUACCUCAAUGUUAUGCCUUGUUUUAACCUGAUCUUUUGCAUCUUCUUCUUCAAUAUCCAGAGACCAAGUACAUUUAAAUUCAACUAAACUCCAAAUACAACAGUGGGAAAGAACAUUGGUAAUUUUAUAGAUCAAAUAUCUUUGACCUGGUGAGACCGUACCACUUGCACUUUUAACAUCAAGGUAUCAUGUGUUAUGUUUUUAUUUAUUUUAUUUAUGGUUUGCCCUAUGAAUCUCUUGAUAAUGUUGCUGAGUCUAUCAGUAUUGAUCAAUGUUCAAUCAAUGAAUGGUCCUUAAGAAUGUGCAGGUGUUUCACACAGUGAUGUAUUGUCAAUGACAUGAUCCCCACCUGACGAUGUCUGAAAUCAGAGAUGAUCACCGUUCAGAGGUGACAACUUUCUUCAAAUGGAUAGAACGUCUAAGAACAGGUGGUUUUUCGCAAAAGAAUGGGACAUUCAUUGAACAAAGCACACGGGUCUUGGUUGACACACUGAACUUGAAAACUACGAACACUACAGAGAUUGGACACCACCAAGAGCUAACAUCUUACUGUAUGUUGAUCCCAUCGGGACUGUUAUGUUCUCCGAUAUGAUCAAGCGGCGGAGCUGUAAGACAAUUUCCUGAAUAAAUAUAGCACCUCCCCAAAGGAUACUGCAUGGGGGCAACGUGAGUGCUCGGGAAAGCAACUCUCUACGAUUCACAGUGGACUUCCCACCGAGAAACAUUUGGGUUUCAAAGACACACCUUUAGGGUGUCAUACAUUUGUAUUCUUAUUGUCUCAAAGCAAACUGUAUAUGAAAUGCUACAUGCACAAAGAAUCUAAAAUCUGUAUCUUAUUUGUUUUUUUCAUUGAAAUAUCUCAUUGCAAGUGGUUACAAUGGUCUCACCCAUAUAACAACAGAAUACAAUGUUAAAGUAUAUGUGAAACUUCAUUCAAUGUUAAUAGACACCUCCCAUUCCAAGCAUAAACCAAUCACCCACUGUAUACAGAUUAAGGACAGCCCUUAGUUUUACAACAACCAAUCAGUACCAAAUUCCUAUAUGCUUUGUUCUCUGGUUAUUUAAGGAGAUGUGUACAAGAUUUAGGCGGGACUUUCAAUAUCUAGAAAUGCACCCCCAUGACGCUGUAUCUUUGAUACAGCAUCAUGUUUCUUUUUAUUUUAUUUUGAGGAAUCUGUAACCAGAUCUUCAUCUCCUUACCAGGUAUGCAAUGGUUUUUCGUUGUAUUGUUUUGUAUUUAAAUUGGAUAUAUUAAUUGGCUUUGAAUUAUGUUUUUCCUACCUGGUUAAUAAAUUGUUAUGUUUGGAUUUAUUCUGUGGCUACGAAAGUUAUUGACAUGAUUAGUAAAUUACGAUGUAUCCUUGUUUCCGCAACGUCUGAAAAUCAGGCUAGUUUUUUACGGACUAAAAUCCCAGAUUAGAUGGCAUAGUAGUACAUCAGCGGAGGAUUUUAGAGAUCCGACUAGCACUUGGCGCUAGUUUAAGUUAAAUUAGAUGCGUGGAGGCUAAUUUCCUGUUUAGAGUAACAUGUAAAUGUUGUCUGACCACUCUAAAUCAGACGAGCCUCAACCUCUGGUUAUUUCAAUAUUAAUCUAUCUAAGUUGCAUAUUAAAUUAUGUCACGAUUAUACAAAGCUAUCAUUGGAGAAGACGGUCAGUUUGUUUUAUGAUAGUGGUCGUGAGCCUCUGGUUAGAAACAAAUAUUGUAAUAAUUAAGUUGCACCUCUAUGGGGACUAAAUAAAGUAUGUUCAGAGAUGAGCACGCAUGAAAGGCGGCCUUCUGAACAUAUGGUCUAACCUCUAGCAGCGACCAAGCCUGAUUCGGUUGUGAUCGUGGGCCCGCAUGAUUAUUAAAUAUUAAUAAACGGCCGGUGCGUGAGUCCAAAGCGACAUGAGUAGCCGAAUGAACGGAUGCAAUAACAAGUAGGGCUAAACAAGAAUAACCAAACAUCCACCCAAAUUCUGUAACUGUUAAAAGUAAUCAUCAAU